GGCAUUCAAUGGAGGAGCGGGCGCGCAAUUACCCAAUCCUGACUCAGGGAGGUAGUGACAAGAAAUAACAAUAAACCGGCUUAUGCCGGUUUAAUUGGAAUGAGUACAAUUUAAACAUCUUAACGAGGAACAAUUGGAGGGCAAGUCUGGUGCCAGCAGCCGCGGUAAUUCCAGCUCCAAUAGCGUAUACUAAAGUUGUUGCAGUUAAAAAGCUCGUAGUUGGAUUUCUGUGGGGACGGAGCGGCCGGCCGCACAUCGCGGUUCGAGCUAGCGCUUUCCCUACAUCCUGCCGCGAACCGUGCUACCAUUAGUUUGGUGGCGCCGGGGAUCGGCUCGAUUACUUUGAGAAAAAUAGAGUGUUCAAAGCAGGCCACAUGCCUUGAAUAAGUUAGCAUGGAAUAAUAACUAAGGACUUCGGUUCUAUUUUGUUGGUGUUCGGGACUGAAGUAAUGAUUGAUAGGGACAGUUGGGGCGGUCUGUAUCCCAAAGCGAGAGGUGAAAUUCUUAGACCUUCGGAAGACAAACAGCUGCGAAAGCGUUCCGCAAGGAUGUUCCCUUUGAUCAAGAACGAAAGUUGGGGGAUCGAAGACGAUCAGAUACCGUCGUAGUCUCAACUAUAAACUAUACCAGCUAGGGAUCGGCCAACGUUAUUUUAUACCGACUUGGUCGGCACCUUAUGAGAAAUCAAAGCAUCUGGGUUCCGGGGGGAGUAUGGUCGCAAGGCUGAAACUUAAAGGAAUUGACGGAAGGGCACCACCAGCCGUGGAGCCUGUGGCUUAAUUUGACUCAACACGGGAAAACUUACCAGGUCCAGACAUAGUAAGGAUUGACAGAUUGAUAGCUCUUUCUUGAUUCUGUGGGUGGUGGUGCAUGGCCGUUCUUAGUUGGUGGAGUGAUUUGUCUGGUUAAUUCCGUUAACGAACGAGACCCCAGCCUGCUAAAUAGCGCGAGUGAGCUUUGCUCGCUGCGAGCUUCUUAGAGGGACUAUGAUGCGCGAUAGCACAUGGAAGUUUGGGGCAAUAACAGGUCUGUGAUGCCCUUAGAUGUUCUGGGCCGCACACGGGCUACACUGGCGCCUGCAACGAGCAUAUCAGCUGGCCCGAGAGGGUCUUGGCUAAUCUUUUGAACCGGCGCCGUGCUUGGGAUUGACCUUUGCAAUUGUUGGUCAUGCAACGAGGAAUGCCUUGUAAACGCGAGUCAUCAGCUCGCAUUGAAUACGUCCCUGCCCUUUGUACACACCGCCCGUCGCUCCUACCGAUGAAUGUUCCGAUGAAAUUUUCGGAGAGCACCUGUGAACUUGGCUCUGCCUUGCGAACGGGAGGCUCAAAGUCACAUAAAUCGAAACAUCAA
rnacentral:rRNA from 1 species